AAUACAUGCAAGUCGAACGGAGCUUUGUAUUCGUACGAAGCUUACUGGCGAACGGGUGAGUAACGCGUUGGUGACCUGCCCCGAAGAGAGGGACAACAGCUCGAAAGGGCUGCAUAUACCUCUAGUGGUCGUAAGGGUUAGAGGCCUGUACGCUCUAAGUGGAGUAAUCCGCUUCUGGAGGGGCCUGCGUCCCAUCAGCUUGUUGGUAGGGUAACGGCCUAUCAAGGCGACGACGGGUAGGGGACCUGAGAGGGUGACCCCCCACAUUGGCACUGAAACACGGGCCAGACACCUACGGGUGGCAGCAGUAGGGAAUAUUGCACAAUGGGCGAAAGCCUGAUGCAGCAACCCCGCGUGCACGAUGAAGGCCUUCAGGUCGUAAAGUGCUUUUCGGGGAGAUGAGGAAGGACAGUAUCCCCGGAAUAAGGAUCGGCUAACUACGUGCCAGCAGCCGCGGUAAAAUGUAGGAUCCGAGCGUUAUCCUAAUUUACUGGGCGUAAAGCGCGUGUAGGCGGUUCGGUAAAUUUGAUGUGAAAUCUCCUGGCUCAAAUGGGAGAGGUCGUUCAAUACUGUCGGAAUAGAGGGUGGUAGAGGGAGGUGGAAUUCCCGGUGUAGUGGUGAAAUGCGUAGAUAUCGGGAGGAACACCAGUGGCGAAAGCGGCCUCCUAGACCGCUCCUGACGCUCAGACGUGAAAGCUAGGGGAGCAAACGGGAUUAGAAACCCCCGUAGUCCUAGCUGUAAACGAUGUGGACUUGGCGUUGGUG
rnacentral:rRNA from 1 species